rnacentral:lncRNA from 1 species
GCCACAGGUGCCGCAACUCGCUGGUGACUCAUCCCAUGUUCGUCACAGGCGCCGCAACUCGCCGGUGACUCGCCUCCAUGUUAGCCACCGGUGCCACAACUCACCGGCGACUCACCUUCAUGUUAGCCACCGGUGCCGCAACUCGCCGGUGACUCGCCUUCUUGUUAGCCACCGGUGCCGCAACUCGCCGGUGACUCGCCUUCAUGUUCGCCACCGGUGCCGCAACUCGUCGGUGACUCACUUCAUGUUGUCGAUGAUGACGCACCUUAUCGACGACUCGCACAUAGAACUCCUUAUGGCAAUGGCCUCCGAUC